rnacentral:rRNA from 1 species
UACGGAAGGCAGCAGUGGGGAAUAUUGCACAAUGGGCGCAAGCCUGAUGCAGCCAUGCCGCGUGUAUGAAGAAGGCCUUCGGGUUGUAAAGUACUUUCAGUCGUGAGGAAGGUGUUAAGGUUAAUAACCUUAGCAAUUGACGUUAGCGACAGAAGAAGCACCGGCUAACUCCGUGCCAGCAGCCGCGGUAAUACGGAGGGUGCGAGCGUUAAUCGGAAUUACUGGGCGUAAAGGGCACGCAGGCGGUUAAUUAAAGUUGGAUGUGAAAUCCCCGGGCUUAAACCUGGGAAUGGCAUUCAAGACUGGUUAGCUAGAGUCUUGUAGAGGGGGUAGAAUUCCAUGUGUAGCGGUGAAAUGCGUAGAGAUGUGGAGGAAUACCGGUGGCGAAGGCGGCCCCUGGACAAAAGACUGACGCUCAUGUGCGAAAGCGUGGGGAGCAAAACAGGAUUAGAUACC